rnacentral:lncRNA from 1 species
AGAAACGCUUUCACCUAAUUAAUGCCACCAUUCUGCACACCUAUAUCGGAAUUUGUACCCAAGAAUUUUGGACUUCGUCGCUUAAGGUUUUGGACGAAAAAGAGUUGCUGAUUUGUGAAAGACUAUUUGCUUUCUUCCCCUCAUGUAUCUAUAUGUAAAUAUUCGUAUGUAUUCCCAAGACUAUUAGCUUUCUUCUCCUUUUCUACUCAGCUUGUUCUACAAAGUGGAUUCGUGAUUUAUUUAUUUAUUUAUUUUUAUUUUUUUGGGGAAAUUAUGUGAAAUUGGAUUUUUU